GUCCCACUAGCGUAAUGGAUAGCGCGUUGGAAUUCUAAUUCAAAGGUCGUGGGCUCCAAUCCCUCCUGGGAUG
rnacentral:tRNA from 1 species